CAGUGGUGAUGAAGUAAAGGACAUGGUUUCGCAUAUUUAUACUGAUAAUAAUUAUUACACCAACCUUGGCUGUCUGAACUG
rnacentral:snoRNA from 1 species